GGAAGACCUAAAAAUAGUGGCAAAAAGCCAACCGAGCUUGGUGAUAGCUGGUUACUCAACAAAUGAACCUUAGUUCAACUUUAGGUGCCCAUGGGCCAACUACUUUAGCCCACCACCCUUUAACCUAAAGAAAUUCAAUGGGGGUACAGCCCCAUUGAACCGGAAUACAACCCGAAUUGAGAGACACCCACUAAACUUUAACCCUAACAGUAGGCCCCAAAGCAGCCACCAACUAAACGCGUUACAGCUACAACAAAACAAUUUUUACAAUAAUACACACCUCCUAAUAUACCACGAGUUAUUCUAUUUUCUAAUAGAAACACCAAUGCUAAAAUUAGUAAUAAGAAACCCUAAUUUCUCUCCGCACCCCCUUAAAUCAGAAUAGAAAAACUACUGAUAAUUAACACAACACGACCUACAACAACUAGCUAACAUGUCAACUAAAAUCUGUUACCCCAACACAGGAGUGCAAAAAAGAAAGGCAAAAAGCCAUAAAAGGAACUCGGCAAACCCUACCGUCCCAACUGUUUACCAAAAACAUAGCCUUUAGCUCAACAAGUAUUAAAGGUCCCGCCUGCCCAGUGACUCUUUAAACGGCCGCGGUAUCCUAACCGUGCAAAGGUA
rnacentral:rRNA from 2 species